GCCCCGUUAGUAGUAAAUGGCAACACACUUCCCUCGUAAGGAAGAAUUCUCGGUUCGAAUCCGAGGCGGGGAUC
rnacentral:tRNA from 1 species